AUGAUGAAUCAAACUAGCUCACUAUGACCGACAGUGAAAAUACAUGAACACCUGAGAAACUGGAGAACGCAGGGAGUGGGGGGUAACCAUGUCUGAGGAAUCUUUCACCCACAGCUUUGUUUUUCUCUAGGUACUACUAACCAAUAACCUGCUUGGCUCAAAGGGCCAGCACCUUCUCUCUAAAGCCCAAGAGGAGUUUGAGGAAAACUAGGUGUCUGUGUUCACUCCAGGCUGAAGUUACAGGUG
rnacentral:lncRNA from 1 species